ACGUAGGGGGCAAGCGUUAUCCGGAUUUACUGGGUGUAAAGGGAGCGUAGACGGCUGUGCAAGUCUGAAGUGAAAGCCCGGGGCUCAACCCCGGGACUGCUUUGGAAACUGUAUAGCUAGAGUGCUGGAGAGGUAAGUGGAAUUCCUAGUGUAGCGGUGAAAUGCGUAGAUAUUAGGAGGAACACCAGUGGCGAAGGCGGCUUACUGGACAGUGACUGACGUUGAGGCUCGAAAGCGUGGGGAGCAAACAG
rnacentral:rRNA from 1 species